AUGAGAUGAGCCCCUGACUGACUGCUCUGCUGUGCGAGCCUCAACCAUCUGUGGCCGCCUGUCUGUCUCCGUCUUUGUCAUCCGUCUUUCGGUGUGCAUUGCUGGGUGGCCUUUGCCGGAGCCUAGGACCCACUGGGAACAGGCUGAGACCCUGUGAAUAUCAUUUCUCAAGAUCCCUCGCCAUUAGGUCCCACCAGCAGGAGCACCGUCGGGAGACUGGAAGGUAGAGGGGGAGAAGAAGCAUCAUCCUAAAGCCUCUUGUGUAGUGGAGAGAGCCCAGCUGGGGACUUUGAGCACAGCUGUGGUAGAGACCCAGGUCAUGUGAACAGUGGUGACAGCCACAGGAGCCGUGGCAGUGACCUGGGAGUGCUGGCUCAUGGAUUCCUGCUCACUUCCAUCGGUGGAUCCCUGGAGAACAGCCAUCCUGUACUUUGGCCAACGUACCUGGAAACAGAAGACGCCACCAGUGAAAAGCAAGUUUUUUCUGAGUCCUACUACUUGGAAAGUAUUAAGCUAGGAACUCUGGGACUUCGAAGAUGAACAAAAUAAGCCCCAGGGAUCUUAUGAUUAUGAAUGUAAAUGUUAAAGCAUUAGCUGAAAUUCAAAGUAGAAUAAUACAAACACAAUUAGCCCUGGCAGGAGAAAGAAAAGAAUCAUUAUUUCUCACUGGUCAAAGCGUUCUGGGGCUGAAUUUCUGAUAAGUACAUAAAGAAACCAAGCAAUUAAAGAAAAUAAAUACGACCCAGUUAUUAA